CGGGUUAGUAUGCAUAGGAACGUUCCCAAAGUCGUGAAUAAUCCGGAGAAAUCCAUAAUAAUACACGAUGUACUCUAAGGAGUAAAGAUUUAUCGCUUUUGGAGCGGCCUGUGUCCUAUCAGCUUGUUGGUGAGGUAACAUGCUCACCAAGGCUAUGACGGGUAGGGGGUGUGAUAGCAUGGACCCCAACAUUGGGACUGAUACUCUGUCCAAACUCCUACGGGAGGCUGCAGUCGAGAAUAUUCCACAAUGGGCGAAAGCCUGAUGGAGCGACGCCGCGUGCAGGAAGACGGCCUUCGGGUUGUAAACUGCUUUUUUUAGGGAACAAAUUUUUGAGCUUACCUAAAGAAUAAGAGGUUACUAACUCUGUGCCAGCAGUAGCGGUAAUACAGAGACCUCAAGCGUUAUCCGGAUUUAUUGGGCGUAAAGCGUAUGUAGGCGGACAUGUUAGUCAGGUGUCAAAUUUUCGGGCUCAACCCGGAAACUGCACUUGAAACGGCAUGUCUAGAGAGAGCGAGAGACCAGUGGAACUUAUGGUGUAGCAGUGAAAUGCGUUGAUAUCAUAGGGAACACCAAAGGCGAAGGCAUCUGGUUGGCGUAUUUCUGACGCUGAGCCGCGAAAGCGUGGGUAGCGAAUGGGAUUAGAUACCCCAGUAGUCCACGCCCUAAACGAUGCACACUUGGCAUUUUGGGAAUCGACCCCUAAAGUGUCGUAGCUAACGCGUUAAGUGUGCCGCCUGGGAAGUACGAGCGCAAGCUUAAAACUCAAAGGAAUAGACGGGGAUCCGCACAAGUGGUGGAUCAUGUGGUUUAAUUCGACGAUAAGCGAGGAACCUCACCAGGGCUUGAAGUCCAGCUGCAUUAUCCAGAAAUGGAUAAGCCUUCGAGGGUGCUGGACAGGUGUUGCAUGGUUGUCGUCAGCUCGUGCCGUAAGGUGUUCCGUUAAGUCGGGAAACGAGCGCAACCCCUUUCGUGUGUUAUAUAUGUCACGCGAUACUGCCCCAUACUUUGCACAUAAAAUUAUUUGUGAGCAGAGUAUGGGGAGGAAGGAGGGGAUGACGCCAAAUCAGCAUGGCCCUUUGACGCCCUGGGCAACACACAUGAUACAAUGGUCGGUAACAAAGGGUUGCCAAGUCGCAAGACGGAGCUAAUCCCAGAAAAUCGGCCCCAGUUCGGAUUGGAGUCUGCAACUCGACUCCAUGAAGCCGGAAUCACUAGUAAUCGUGAAUCAG
rnacentral:rRNA from 1 species